rnacentral:rRNA from 1 species
GACGAACGCUGGCGGCGUGCUUAACACAUGCAAGUCGAACGGAAAGGCCCCCUUGUGGGGUACUCGAGUGGCGAACGGGUGAGUAACACGUGAGUAACCUACCCUUGACUUUGGGAUAACUUCAGGAAACUGGGGCUAAUACCGGAUAGGAGCUCCUGCUGCAUGGUGGGGGUUGGAAAGUUUCGGCGGUUGGGGAUGGACUCGCGGCUUAUCAGCUUGUUGGUGGGGUAGUGGCUCACCAAGGCUUUGACGGGUAGCCGGCCUGAGAGGGUGACCGGCCACAGAGGAAUAGGGGAGGGGCCCGGAGGCAAGAGGGGGGAAGGGGGGGGAGAUUUUCGGAGAGGGGCGGAGGGCUGGAGGAGGGCCCCCGGGGGGGGAAAGGCGGCCUUGGGGUUAGAAACCGUUUUCGCCGGUAAAGGAGCGGGGGGAAGGUAAAGGGGUAAAAAGCCACGGGUAAACACGGG